rnacentral:rRNA from 1 species
CCUACGGGAGGCAGCAGUGAGGAAUAUUGGUCAAUGGACGAGAGUCUGAACCAGCCAAGUAGCGUGAAGGAUGACUGCCCUAUGGGUUGUAAACUUCUUUUAUAUGGGAAUAAAAUGUUCCACGUGUGGGAUUUUGUAUGUACCAUAUGAAUAAGGAUCGGCUAACUCCGUGCCAGCAGCCGCGGUAAUACGGAGGAUCCGAGCGUUAUCCGGAUUUAUUGGGUUUAAAGGGAGCGUAGGUGGAUUGUUAAGUCAGUUGUGAAAGUUUGCGGCUCAACCGUAAAAUUGCAGUUGAAACUGGCAGUCUUGAGUACAGUAGAGGUGGGCGGAAUUCGUGGUGUAGCGGUGAAAUGCUUAGAUAUCACGAAGAACUCCGAUUGCGAAGGCAGUUCACUGGACUGCAACUGACACUGAGGCUCGAAAGUGUGGGUAUCAAACAGGAUCAGAUACCCGUGUAGUC